rnacentral:rRNA from 1 species
CAAUCUGUGUGACUGCGUACCUUUUGUAUAAUGGGUCAGCGACUUAUAUUCUGUAGCAAGGUUAACCGAAUAGGGGAGCCGAAGGGAAACCGAGUCUUAACUGGGCGUUAAGUUGCAGGGUAUAGACCCGAAACCCGGUGAUCUAGCCAUGGGCAGGUUGAAGGUUGGGUAACACUAACUGGAGGACCGAACCGACUAAUGUUGAAAAAUUAGCGGAUGACUUGUGGCUGGGGGUGAAAGGCCAAUCAAACCGGGAGAUAGCUGGUUCUCCCCGAAAGCUAUUUAGGUAGCGCCUCGUGAAUUCAUCUCCGGGGGUAGAGCACUGUUUCGGCAAGGGGGUCAUCCCGA